rnacentral:rRNA from 1 species
UAGGGAAUCUUCCGCAAUGGGCGAAAGCCUGACGGAGCAACGCCGCGUGAGUGAUGAAGGUCUUCGGAUCGUAAAACUCUGUUAUUAGGGAAGAACAAAUGUGUAAGUAACUAUGCACGUCUUGACGGUACCUAAUCAGAAAGCCACGGCUAACUACGUGCCAGCAGCCGCGGUAAUACGUAGGUGGCAAGCGUUAUCCGGAAUUAUUGGGCGUAAAGCGCGCGUAGGCGGUUUUUUAAGUCUGAUGUGAAAGCCCACGGCUCAACCGUGGAGGGUCAUUGGAAACUGGAAAACUUGAGUGCAGAAGAGGAAAGUGGAAUUCCAUGUGUAGCAGUGAAAUGCGAAGAGAUAUGGAGGAACACCAGUGGCGAAGGCGACUUUCUGGUCUGUAACUGACGCUGAUGUGCGAAAGCGUGGGGAUCAAACAGG